CAGGAAUGCUGGAUCCCCAGCACUGGCCAGCACAGGCCUGUGUAAAGAGCUGAGGUGUGGGAGAGGAAGGUUCUCGAGUUGCCUAGCAGCCACAUGGUAGCUUCAGAAACACCCAGGCCACUGGCAGUUCCAGGCAGCUGCUGAGGGGAUGGGAGGGCAGGCAGUGGGCUCAGAGGGCUCCCAUCGCUAGCGCUAGUGUGACACAGACACCCUCAGGGUCCAUCUGGCUGACAGUGAGCUGCCCACAAAGCCCACUGGGGACAGCACCUUGUCAUGUGACAACAUCACUGAGCAAGUGUUGGCUCAACUGCCCAGGCACAGCUCUGAGUACAGAUUCGGCCUGAGUUUCUGGCAACGUGAUGGAAAUGGCAGAAAGGCUCAGAGCAACAGCAAGUCCAGCCAAAUGCCAGAGUCCUUGAGACAGAGGACAUGAGGAGGCUUCCCCGGACGUCCUCGCUGCUGCAGCACUGGAGUUUUGCUUUGUUGCCCAGGCUGGAGUCCAAUGGCAUGAUCUCUGCUGAAUGCAGCCCAGGUGGAGUCUUGCUCUGUUGCCCAGGCUGGUCUGCAAUGGUAUAAUCUCAGCUCACUGCGACCUCUGCCUCCCAGGUUUAAGACUGAGUGAGGCUGAAAACUUACCUCACCCCCAAAAUAUAACAGCUAAAGUCAAUGGACCAAGACCUAUUCGUAAACCAACCUGCCCUCUUCCCCAGGACAACAGAGAGUCAGAAACACCAACAGAAGGCUGAUGAGUUACAGGGGCUGAUGCAGAAAUCAACUCAUCCUUAAAAUACAGGCUACUAUUUAGUAUGCAAAAUAAAUAAACUGUGUGCCUCUCAAGGGUCAAUAUUUUCCUUGGGGAAAAACAGUGGAAUGCAUGGGAAGAAUCUCUAAGCAGGGAAGCUCAGCCUCCACCCUGAUCCUGGGACAGCAAACGCUCCUAGGUUUAUGGACCUCCUGAUUGGACUCAAGAGUCACAGCACAGCACUGGCUGGCCUAGGCCGGCUACCCCAUGCUAAUGCUUUGGAAACUACCUGCCAUGCUAAGACACACAAGCCCAUUUUCAGGAGCAGCCUUGAGGCUCUACUUGACACAGCAGAAAAUAGGACCCAGAAAAAUGUCCCUGGAGAGCAAAAUGAAGUCACUCUUCUUAGCCUUACAACAAACACUGAGCGUGAGAAUGCCAGCUUCGCCAGGUAGGACUUGCUGGAUCACACAGUGCCAUAACCCCAGGGCCUAGCAACAGGUGGUGCGCACCGGCACCUACCAGAGAAGGGGUGCCUGCUCCACGGGGGUGCCUCACAGCCAUCUCUGUGACCCUUCAUGGCAAUCCUUGAGGUAGGUGUCGUUGUCAUCAUCAUCAUCACUGUAGACAUUACGAUUCCCACGAGUCUGGGAAGUUACCUGCCCCAGGUCACACAGCCAGUACGAGGCAGACAGAAAUGAAAAGUGACACUCUGCUGCCCCUCACUGCCUGCUCCUUCACCCUGGACCAUAAAACAUUCCCCAACUUUCUACUUGAGAUGUCACGGUACAGGUCUGGGGUAUGGAAAAAGCAGUGGCCAGGUCUCAGACUCAGCAGCUGGGUGACCAGGCCACUCCUCUCAACCUUCAGGUUCUUUGCCCCCCAAGCCAUUUGGUGAC